UCCCUCAUAGCUCAGUUGGUAAAGAAUCUGCCUGCAGUGCAGCAGACUCAGGUUCGAUUCCUGGAUCGGGAA
rnacentral:tRNA from 1 species